rnacentral:misc_RNA from 1 species
AUCUUCUUUAUAAUGAUAUCUUUUGAAUGAAUUUCAGUUGAAGUUGAUAUCUCGAUCCGUUCUUUAGAUAUCGAAAACGAAAAAAAUGCUGACAUAUCUACAAUGUACAUACAUACGUAUAUAUGUACGUGCAAGUGGAAGUUUGGUAACAUUUCGUGCGACCAGAGUGAAAGUUUGGUGACUAUUACCAAACUUCCCUACAACGAUUAUGGAAGUUUCGUGACGGUCACCGAACAUCCAAAAUAAUUUUAAAAACAAAAAAAAAAAAAAACAAGUAACAGGAAAACACGACAAAUGUCGAAUAUACAGUUAAACACCAUAUAAUAAUCUAAGUUCUGUUUUUCAAGAAUCUAGGGGAAGCAGAAUAACAGAGUAAAUAUCGAAAUUUAUUGCAAAAAAUAGGUCUUUCACAAAACCUCGGUGACUGUCACCGAUCUUUCAAAAUGACUUCGAAUUCAUUGAAUUUUUAUAAAUCUAACAUCUAGAAAAAUUAGAAUGAACCAGUUAUAUAACUUAGGAUUCAAAAAUUGAAUUUAAACACACUCAAUCCUGAAUCAUGAGUUCCUAAGGAUUAAUAGUAUCGAUAACAGAUAUUUAACAUCAUAAAUAGUAGGGAUAGAGCUGAUUGCUGACUAUCGCCAACUAUUCACAAAAUUUAAAAAAAAAUUACUAAAUAUUAAUUCGGAGUCGAUUUAAAAAAAAUUACAGUAUUUAUCUGUCUAUUCAAAAUAAUUAUCAGAAAAUUUUUGAGUUUUUAAAGAAACCAUCAAUAGAGUACUCAUUAUGCAUUCUUGCAACAUAACUUUUUCUAAGAAGGAAAGCAUCAUUAAAAAUUAUUUAUAAUCGAGAAAAGCUGAAACAUGCCAAUAUACUAUUUUACUUUAAUUUUAUUACGUUAAGGUUACAUGAUUUUCGGGCGAUCAUUAGCAGAAUGUUUACAUCAACAUGUUUUAUAUGUAACGCACUACUUUCGGUAGCUGAUAUCGGUUCACUUGAUCAGUUUUGCAAAAAAUUUUUGAAGAAUACUUAUAAGCUGUCGAUCAAAAACUUUGAAAUCGUUGAUAUAACAUGUCAAUUAUCUGUGCAAAAUUACAAACUGUAAAACAAAAUAUCAAUAAUAUUAUAAUUCACUUUUUACUUUUAUAUUAUAUAUUAGCAAAUCCCCGCGACUUCGACUGUGAAUAGACCAAUUACAGAAAGCUAUUGCUGUGUGAUAGGAUUCAUAAAAAAGUAAUAUAUUCGCAAAUAAUAUAUUCAUACAAAAAAGUAAUAUUAUGGUCACUGGAGCAGUUUAAGCUCGCUCUCCUCGAAUACAACGAGCAAGUUGAAUGUCUUUGGGCAUGAUGGUCACCUGUUUUGCGUGAAUGGCGCACAAGUUGGUAUCUUCAAAAAGACCAACGAGGUAUGCCUCGCUGACUUUUUAAAGAGCUAUCACAGCUGAGCUCUGGAAUCUCAAGUGUUUUGAAGUCCUGAGUGAUGUCGCGACCAAGCCGUUGGAAUGGCAAUUUACAGAUGAGUAACUCAGUACUUUUCUGAUAACGACGAAUUUCUUGAAAUGCAACAGUUCCAGGCCAGUAGCGAUGUAGUUUCUUAAUUCUUCCAGUUGCAGGAGCACACAGGGAAUGAGAUUGUUUCAGUAAAUCACUUAUGCGUUGGAAGAGCUCAAAUACAUCGAAUGGAUUCCGUUUUUCAUUGUUUACAACAAGUUUAACUAUUAUAAACAAUUCACAUAACAAAAAGUAGUCUAUAAUAUUUCCAACAACCCCCUUCAAACGGUUGCAAAAUUUGGUUGCAAUCGAAUUAGCCGUUUUGGAGAUUACCCCGAACAAAGAGACUAACACCAGAAAUUUAUACAGUAGUAUAGAUAUAGAUUACUUCUUUGGAGUAAUAGUAUGUUACGAAACUUUCUUUUUAUUAUGAUGCUUUUCUUUAGGCUUUUAGGAAAUUUUCAUCGAUUGGCAUAGUUUUUAUUUUUGAUAUCCUACGCAGACAUUGUUGCAGGUAAAAGCUAGUUCAUCAUAAACAGUAGGGUUAACAACCAAUUAGGUCACCAUUAAUUCAGUAAACAAUUUGCACUGGAAAACGAACAACUUACAUGUAUGAGUAAAGUAAUUUAUUUUCAUUACGAAUUUAAUCGAGAAAUCAAUGAAAGUAUCACAUUAAAUAAUUGAUGUCAGUCACCGAACUUCCAGAAUAGUUACAAAGUUUGUUCAACGAAUUUAUUUGAAAUUGUUGAUGAAAAAUAAGAGAAUAAAAAAGAGCAGUCGAUAAUUGUUAACAAAUUAUAAAUAAGAUCUUAAAAAUUGACUUUACAUCGUCGAUAUAUUGAAUGAGAACAAAUUUUGAAACCCUAUCCUUACGCCUCCUCCAAUCCUCAAACCUAAAUUUAUUCCUUCCUAAUUUUGGGUCCACCCCUACUCCCAACUUGAGACAACAUCCUUGCGGCAGACACCCAGCUUCCUACACUCGGAUCAGUUACCCACUCUCAAAAAGAUAGUCUUUGGCUAACAUUCAUAACCAGCAGAACAAUUUCAACCUCUUUUCGUAUGUUUUCUAUAUAAAUAUCAAUAAAGGAUUUUCUUACGAAACAAUUGUCUCGUCAUUGAGGUACACAACACAAUUGGCGACAAGGAUUCGGGACGUCAACGCAUUAAAGUACAGUGUUUGCAAAGAAUUAGAGACUCUUUAAUGUGCAAAAAAAGUGUCAAUUUUUAUUGUUUAUCGAUAACGACCCACUAAGACGCACGACGACCUGAAUGAAAAUUGGAAUUCCACAUCAAUCAGUGAGUGCAGUAACCCUAAGAUAGCCAGUUGAGCUGUGAUCCAGAAUUGGCUGACUUCUAAAACUAGCAAUUUCAGCACUAAUAACAUCGUAGCAGAUCGAUUUGUAAAAUCUGUUCAAGAGAUAUUAUCGAUAAAAAUAUAUUUCACAUCCAAUUGGAAUGUCGCUAGCUGCAGAUAUUUCUACUGCACUGCAUCUAUUGGUCCAUAUUCAUAACAGAGUCAAGGACAACGAUAAAUUGGAAUUUCAUUUGCACACGAGUGAUGAUGUCAGUUUAUUGAUUUCAUUGCUGGAAGAACCACUUUUUAGGAGCAUAGUGGUAAUUCAAGAUUCAUUAAUUGAUUUAAAUACUCAAUUGAUUCAACACCCAUCGAUCUUACCUGGUGAUUUUGAUAUAAAUUUAAUUGGACAAUUAGAAUUAUCGAUACCAACUCCACCAAUAAAAUCGUCAGAGAUCAAUGCAUAUCAGGAUUUAUAUAAUGACAAUAGUGAAUUAGAUGAUCAACGAGUUCCUGUAGCAUCAGUCAUCCAUACAAGUAGUGAAGAUAAUAGUACACAGUUGAAUACAUCCGGAUUGCUUUCUGAGGGAUUGAAUGUUCUACCAAUUACAACACCAACAUAUGUCAAAGAAUUUCAGAAAGUGAUUGAAACAGCAGCUAACGGACGUGAAAUACUAACUGUACAGCUUUGCAAGCCGGAAGGGAACAAUCUUGGCUUCAGCGUAGUUGGACUGAGAAGUAAAGAAAAAGGUGAUUUGGGUAUUUUUCUGCAAGAAAUUCAACCCAACAGCAUAGCAGGACGGGAUGGUCGUUUAGUAGAGGGAGAUCAGAUACUAGCUAUUGAUGGACAACCAUUAGAUUCAAAUAUAUCUCAUGAACAAGCAAUAUCUAUUCUUCAACAAGCACGUGGAGUUGUUGAAAUUGUUAUUGCACGGAAUAAUCAAGAUUACACUGGUCAAUCUGACGAUACAUCUGAAGCUUCAACAAUUUUAGCUUCUGAUCCAUGCAUUCUUCUGGAAUCUAAUGAAACUAAAACGGCCCUAGAGCUUGAAUCUACUGUAAGAUCAUAUUUGCAUGAUUUAUCAACAACAAAGGAUACACAUUCAACUCCUCAUUAUUCCCUGCUUCCAUUAUCUGAGGCUUCAGGAGUUGAGCGAUCACCUUCCGCAUUAAGUGAAACUUCAAGAAGUAGUGUUGACAUGGUGCUUAACACUGAAUGGGCGCAAGUAGAGGUGAUUGACUUGAUCAAUGAUGGAAGCGGACUUGGAUUUGGUAUAAUUGGUGGAAAAAGUACUGGUGUAGUCGUGAAAACUAUCCUUCCGGGAGGUGUUGCUGAUCGUGAUAAUCGAUUACAGAGUGGUGAUCAUAUACUUCAAAUUGGUGAUGUAAACUUACGUGGAAUGGGGAGUGAACAAGUCGCAGCAGUAUUAAGGCAAUCAGGAACGCAUGUGAGAUUAGUAGUCGCUCGACCAGUGGAGCCAAUGUCACCAGAUUAUCAGAUGAUAGAAAAUUAUACAUUGAUAGUACCAACAAAAAUACUUAGUGAUUCUGAAGAACUUGAUCGCUAUUUAAUACAGAAGCUUCCUGGCAACUGUAAUUUGACAAGUAAUGAAAAUGUAUCGAACAACGAUACAAAUACUAUGGAACAUGAUUCAGAUCCAUACAUGAAAACAGGAUUCAUAAUUGACAUCGUUCAAAAUCCAGCUUCAUCCGGACUAACAUCUGCUAUUACUACUUCAGAAUUUACGUCUCGAUUCAAUUCUUCAACUUACUUGCCGGAUUCGGCCGAUACAAAUUUAUGUCCAGAAAUGGAACGGUUUACUGUUGAACUAAAGAAAGAUAUUUACGGUCUCGGUAUAACGAUUGCUGGUUAUGUUUGUGAACAAGAAGAAUUGUCUGGAAUUUUUAUAAAAAGUAUAAGUAAAGGGAGCGCCGCAGAUCUAAGCAAUAAAGUACAAGUCAAUGAUCGGAUUAUUGAAGUUAAUAAUCAUCCUUUAAAAGGUUAUUCCAACCAUGAAGCAGUUGAAGUUUUGAAAAAUACUGGACAAAUAGUAACAUUAUGCAUGGAGCGAUACUUGAGAGGACCCAAAUAUGAACAAUUGCAGCAAGCGAUUGCAGCAAGUGAACUAAAAAAACCUCAACCUGCAUCUCCGUCGAUUAUGAGUCUACCGAGUUUUCCAAUCAGCACGGAUGGAGAUACUAUUUUAGGAACUGAUUAUGGAGAAGAAGAUGAAACAUGUACUUUUGACAAGAGUACAAUUCUUGACAACGAUAAAAAUCGUUUAUUAUUAGAGAAUAGUCCAAAUCAUUUCGUAAUAGAAGAUGUCUCUUGUGAUCCAAUGAUUAAUCUUAACCCUACAACAAAGACUACUAUCGAAAAAAAAUGGAAGGAUAUUUUAGAUGAUGACACUGAGAUAAUUAUCGCACAGUUGAAAAAAUUCUCUGAAGACGGUGGUUUAGGUAUCAGCUUAGAAGGAACCGUUGAUGUUGAAAAUGGUCAAGAAGUACGACCGCAUCAUUAUAUUCGUUCAAUACUUCCAGAAGGUCCCGUUGGAAAAGAUGGAACGUUACGUUCUGGUGACGAACUAUUAGAGGUCAACGGAAUGAAGUUACUUGGUAUAAAUCAUAAGGAUGUCGUUGCAAUCUUAAAAGAUCUUCCGAUGAACGUCAGAAUCGUUUGUGGAAGAAACAGCACAUCUCAAAUUAUUCUGUGUCCCAUCAACACAGCACAACAUCCAGCAGCGUUCCAAACAAGACUCUCCAAAACUCACAACGUGAAUAUCAGCCAAGUGGGCAGCAAUUUUCGAAAGAAUCAUACCCAAUUGAAUAUCUCACCGAGGACAAGAAACAGAUUUAUUUAGGAAGAGACAAAUGGAUAAGCACAGGAACUUAUGCUCACAUGAUGUCAAACGUGACUUUACUGUCGCAGUUGGUUAGAAAUCUGUUAUAAGAAUUUUUUACGGAGAGUAUUUUAAUAAAUAUAACUGUCAGUGGUGACAUUUCGAAUAGACCUAGAAAGAAAAUGGGCGGUGUAGUGAAUUUCACUCAAAUAACACUUUUGGAUCCAGUGAAAGUAUUAAUUAUGAAAAGUAAGCAUGCCAAUCAAAAUUGAAGACAUGUCAAUUGUAAAUAUAUUGUGAUAACGGACAUCGUGGCCUAGGUAGUAACGUGCCUGCUUGGCGCACUAUGGAUAGCGGGUUCGAUUCCCGGCCGAGACAAGACCUAUUUAAAAUAUAUAGUCUUUUCUCUGACUACGAUGAGCUAAAGGCCUUUCAGAGGGCAGUCAAAGGCGUGGACUAUCGUGCUGAUGAUUAAAUAGUACAAAAAGUGCUAUAGCCGCUACGACGCCCUUAAAAAACCAGGCGACACCCCAUUGUAUACAGCCUUACCCGACCAAAAGGCUCUGCACAAGUGGACCCCAAAAUUCCUCACACAUACUCUCUCGUUAUCUUAAGCUGAUGCUGAGAAAACCAGGAACCUCGAGGUAACCAGCGGAAUCUCCGAAGGUUGAGGAAACCAGGGGACCCAUGGGGCUUAGCAGAAUCUCCAAAAGCAAAAGUUAACGUUCUUUCGUACCACUAUAUGAAAAUCGACAGGGACUGUUCCGGGGCUCGGAAGGGAACCAAGGCAACUUGGGAACCUAGGAAACUUGCAGACCUAAGACAUAAGACGACCGCCUUCACUGUGCAAACAGACCCUGUACAAUGGCCUCGUAGCUCAGUGCAGGAAAAGGCGGAACAUUUUAAGACACCUUCUCCCAUAAAGGAAAAAAAAAAAUAUAUGUAUAUUGUGAUGAAUAAAUUUGUUGGUAUCACAAAUCCAACAAAAUGAUGGAUAUAAAUUAAUUUAAUUUUAAAUUUCUUCUUCCGUAGAUUUCGUACGACACUAUUUGAUUUCAGAAAUGGAGAAGUCUUAGUACGAAGCUGAUAGUGAGGCGUAUAACAUGCGUCAACACAUCUUCAAGAAAAUCGCAGAGUUGAAAGAAGGCGAAUAUUAGAAAGAAUGCUAAAUAGUAGCUCUUGGUCAUGAUUCCGAGAUAUCUGAGAACAUUUCACACGACCUAUCUGUACAGUCGAUGAAUGUCAUGGAUAAAUUAGUGAAAGCUAAAUC